rnacentral:rRNA from 1 species
GGGGCGGCAGGCUUACACAUGCAGUCGAGCGGAACGAUGAUUGCUUGCAAUCAGGCGUCGAGCGGCGGACGGGUGAGUAAUGCUUGGGAAUAUGCCUAGAGGUGGGGGACAACAGUUGGAAACGACUGCUAAUACCGCAUAAUGUCUACGGACCAAAGGAGGGGACCUUCGGGCCUUUCGCCUUUAGAUUAGCCCAAGUGAGAUUAGCUAGUUGGUGGGGUAAAGGCCUACCAAGGCGACGAUCUCUAGCUGGUUUGAGAGGAUGAUCAGCCACACUGGGACUGAGACACGGCCCAGACUCCUACGGGAGGCAGCAGUGGGGAAUAUUGCACAAUGGGGGAAACCCUGAUGCAGCCAUGCCGCGUGUGUGAAGAAGGCCUUCGGGUUGUAAAGCACUUUCAGUAGGGAGGAAAGGUUAGUAGUUAAUACCUGCUAGCUGUGACGUUACCUACAGAAGAAGCACCGGCUAACUCCGUGCCAGCAGCCGCGGUAAUACGGAGGGUGCGAGCGUUAAUCGGAAUUACUGGGCGUAAAGCGUGCGUAGGCGGAUUGUUAAGCGAGAUGUGAAAUCCCGGGGCUCAACCUCGGAACUGCAUUUCGAACUGGCAGUCUAGAGUAUUGUAGAGGGUGGUGGAAUUUCCAGUGUAGCGGUGAAAUGCGUAGAGAUUGGAAGGAACAUCAGUGGCGAAGGCGGCCACCUGGACAAAUACUGACGCUGAGGCACGAAAGCGUGGGGAGCGAACAGGAUUAGAUACCCUGGUAGUCCACGCCGUAAACGAUGUCAACUAGCUGUCUGUGUUCUUGAAACGUGGGUAGCGUAGCUAACGCGCUAAGUUGACCGCCUGGGGAGUACGGCCGCAAGGUUAAAACUUCAAAUGAAUUGACGGGGAGUGACUACCACCCGGUGGAGCAUGUGGUUUAAUUCGAUGCAACGCGAAGAACCUUACCAUCCCUUGACAUCCAGAGAAUUUUCUAGAGAUAGAAAUUGUGCCUUCGGGAACUCUGAGACAGGUGCUGCAUGGCUGUCGUCAGCUCGUGUUGUGAAAUGUUGGUGUUAAGUUCCUCGCAUCGAGCGCAACCUCCUAUCCUUACUUGCCAGCGAAUCAUUGUCGGGAAUCUUUAAUGAG